AUGCGUGUCGAACUCAGAUUACUCUGUAUGUGAUCUGGCUCAGGACGAACGCAUGCGCGUGCUGAUACAUGCCAGUCGACGCGUCUUCUCCGAGUGCUUGCACUCAAUGGAAAGAGGAGUGCGGACGGUGAGUACACGUGGUACCUACCAUUCAGAGGGGAUUACACUUGGAUAGCAGGUGCUAAUACCGCAUAACAGUUUAUGCCGCAUGGCAUUAGAGUGAAAGGCGCUUCGGGUGUCGCUGAUGGAUGGACCGCGGUGCAUUAGCUAGUUGGUGAGGUAACGGCUCUCCAAAGGCCACGAUGCAUAGCCGACCUGAGAGGGUGAUCGGCCACACUGGGACUGAGACACGGCCCAGACUCCUACGGGAGGGCAGCAGUAGGGAAUCUUCGGCAAUGGACGAAAGUCUGACCGAGCAACGCCGCGUGAGUGAAGAAGGUUUUCGGAUCGUAAAAAUUUGUUGUUAGAGAAGAACAAGGACGUUAGUAACUGAACGUCCCCCGACGGUAUCUAACCAGAAAACCACGGCUAAAUACGUGCCAGCAGCCGCGGUAAUACGUAGGUGGCAAGCGUUGUCCGGAUUUAUUGGGCGUAAAGCGAGCGCCGGCGGUUUUUUAAAUUUGAUGUGAAAGCCCCCGGCUCAACCGGGGAGGGUCAUUGGAAACUGGGAGACUUGAGUGCAGAAGAGGAGAGUGGAAUUCCAUUUGUAGCGGUGAAAUGCGUAGAUAUAUGGAGGAACACCAGUGGUGAAGGCGGCUUUUUGGUUUGUAAUUGACGCUGAGGCUUGAAAUCGUGGGGAGCAAACAUGAUUAGAUACCCUGGUAGUUCUCCCCUUUAACGAUGAUUGCUAAGUGUUUGAGGGUUUACGUCCUUCAGUUUUCAGCAAACGCAUUAAGCACUCCGCCUGGAGUACGACCAGCA
rnacentral:rRNA from 1 species